UUUCGUGGAGCACGUCCUGAACGUGUUCAGAGGAAGAACGCUUGCGCAUUAGAAUUUUGGCUGUUCGCGGUGUUGAAAAAUCCUCCUCUGAAUAAAAAGUUCUCUGUUCGCGGAGCGCAACAACUUGUCCUGAACGUAUUCGGAAUGCGUUCAACAAGUUCUGGGAUUAAAGAGAGGAUUUAUUGUCCGCACAUGUGCAGAAGUUGAUUUGACGAAUUUAUUUAUUUUGUUAAGAGAUUCGAGAUUGUAUUUCUAACCUAACAAGUUUAAAAUUUUGAAUUGUUGUGUUAUCAUACAAAUGUUGUAAAAGAUGAUGAACCUCAGUUCAAGUGAUGAAGAUUUGGAAGAGAUUGUAGGACUUUUAAAUGUUCCAAAAAAUGCAAAUUUUUUUGAGGAAACUGUGCAACAAUUUAAUAACCAACAAUUUAUACAGAAUUUUAGAUUAAGUAGAGACUUAGCUGUAGAUUUGGCAAAUAAGUAUGAAAGAUCUCAUUUCCACAAUAUUAUGUAAAAUUACUUUUCCUGUUUUGGAGUGUUGUUUGUCCUAGCGUAGAUAAAGAUAAAAGAAUAAGGUUAGGCAAUUGGCAUAGGCAACCCAAAAAACAUCCGGAAAUUGUUCGUGCAGAAACAAAUUCAGAAUAUAUUCGGAGACACGCUUGCGCAUAUAUUUGUAUCCGGGUUAAGUUCAGAAUACAUUCAGGAUGUGCUCCACGAAAACACC
rnacentral:lncRNA from 1 species